GUGAAUCAUCAAAUCUUUGAACGCAAAUUGCACUCUCUUCGGAGAGUAUGCCUGUUUGAGGGUCAGUAUUAAUAAAAAUCGGUGUGUUGCUUCUUUGUGACGCUCCGGAGUUUGGGUCAUCUUAAUAUCCUUUAGGUUUUAAGAGGCUUAAAAUUGACUUUUUUGCGCAUUUUAGAUGUACAUAAAUUCUUUUUUUUUUUGGUUUGCUUUAUUCUUAAAAUCCUAUUAAAAUUGGA
rnacentral:misc_RNA from 1 species